rnacentral:lncRNA from 1 species
UUUCUUUGAUCUAGGCUAUUUUGCUGAAAGUUCAUUGUCGUUACCUUUUCAUUACGUGAUCUGUGGAGCUUGAGUUAUCUUUUUUAGUAGGUCUGAACUUCAUCUGUGAUUUAUCCCUCCUCCAAUGAAAGACGAUCAACAGGUACCUAGUUACCAAAACUUCUGCACGCAUAUCAGUGAGACCACAUUUCUGUUGUUUUUGUUUUCCCUAUCUGGACGACAUCGAGACCAGACUGGAAUGACUUUACCCCCUCCCAAAUGGACCUAUUGUCGUAUUCCAUUUUGCUCCGCGAAUAGAUCUGUAUCAACGAUUAAAACGCUUAAGGUUCAAUUUUUCAACGUAUUUUUGUUUCUAUCCUAAGUCUAUUUAAAGUCUACCUGUAUAGGGCUAGUGUAAAUUAUUCAAUGUAUUUGCAAAUGGAACUUAUUUUGACUGAUACCGGUGAUACCCUGAAAAAUGUUCUCACUUUAAAUUGGAAUAAAUAGUGAAUUAGCCUAUUUACGAAAAAUCUUAAAUAUUGUGUUCAGACCACUUCAGGCAUUUUUUUUUACAACGAAAGCAGUAACAUUCAGUCAAGUUGUUAACUGAGUUCAAAUCAGGAACAAAGACUCGAUAAUAUUCCAAAUCAUCAAGGCGUUGAUGUCAUAUGUUGAGACCAGCAGAUGGAGAAUCAAUGUUUGCUCAAUUAAAGUAGAGAACAAAAUAAGAAAUACAAUAUGGAUGAUGCUAAUUUUCAUUGGUGAAAGGAGUGGUGACCAAGUCAAGUUUCACCUGCUGCGUGCAAUCUACGCUGGUGUUGUCCUGAAGUGUGGAAGCGUUACUUGAAAUGUUACAGCAACUGAAGACUUCAGAAACGGAAGAUCUACGAUGCUGUCAUUUUUCCAACGUCCGGUUGAAGCCAUUCAGAGAAGGUCAUAACUCAUAAGGAACAUUACGUAAGUGUCAUGUGGUGGUGUAAGGUUGGGUGAGAAUUGAGAAAGACACGUGUUCAUCAUUAUCAAACCCAUCCCCAGCAACGUCAUCCUUCAGAAGGAAAGGCCAGUUU